rnacentral:misc_RNA from 1 species
CUUUAAGGCGUGGACAUCAACAGCAGAAAAUGGCUGCUGGUCUUUGACGUCAGUGCGUUUUGUACGCCUCGGCCAGCCUCGUAGCGGGCGUCACAGAGCAGCGGGUUCUGUUUAGGAUGGGUUAAGAUGCCUCCCGGAUUAUUCAAAAUGCAAGGAACGGUGUGUUCCGUCUGUGUUCGUGUUUUCAAAUGGUUCCCAGUGCUGUUCAUCACGACCAUAGUAGCCUGGUCCUACUACGCGUAUGUCAUCCAACUGUGUUUGUUUACCAUUGAGAAUAUAAUCCAAAAAAUAUUUUACCUGAUUGGCUUUCAUGCCUGUUUCGCAAUGUUCGCUUGGUCAUACUGGCAGACCAUAUUCACAGAGCCAGGUACCAUUCCAAAGCAAUUCUAUCUGUCACCAGCGGAUGCUGAGCGCCUGGAAAAGGAACUCAGUGAAGAUAAUCAAAGGCAAAUGCUGGAAAGGCUUGCCAAGAAUCUUCCUGUCUCAUGUAGGACGAUGAAUGGAAUGGUGAGAUAUUGUGAGAAGUGCCACCUCAUCAAGCCUGACAGAGCACACCACUGUUCAGUUUGUGGGAGGUGCAUACUGAAAAUGGACCAUCAUUGCCCUUGGGUGAACAACUGUGUGUCUUUCACAAAUUACAAGUACUUCAUUCUCUUCUUGGCCUACUCCUUAAUCUACUGCCUUUACGUGGCUGCUACGACAUUGCAGUUCUUCAUCAAGUUCUGGACGAAUGACCUUGAAGGAUGGGGACGUUUCCACAUUUUGUUUUUGUUCUUCGUUGCAUUCAUGUUUGCCAUCAGCUUGGUCUCACUGUUUGGCUAUCACUGCUUCCUCGUCAUGGUGAACCGCUCUACACUCGAGGCAUUCCGCCCACCAAUAUUUCGCACUGGCCCGGACAAGCAUGGCUUCAGCCUUGGCCACCAGGCCAAUAUGGCCGAGGUAUUUGGUGACAACCGCCGUCUCUGGAUUCUACCAGUUUUCACAAGCCUGGGUGAUGGGGUGACUUAUCCAACACGCACCCAACUGGCCAGUUCGUACAACUCCAUGGGGAGCACGGAGCAGGCAAGGCGAAAAACUCGAUCUACAAGGGAAAGCAAGACUCUCCUUUUGGAUGAAUGCUUGGGAGACGGCGUCACCUUCCCACAAAAGAUUGUGGAUGAGGACACAGAUGGACUCUUGAACCAAAGACAGAGAUGGGCUGAAACUGAUGAAGAAGCGGGCCAUUCCGAUGCCUCUGGGAAUAGCAUGAAUGCAGAGGUCACAGCACUGCUUGAAUGAGCUGCUACCAACUCUGUGUGUGUACCUUUGCGUGCGGUAACGCUGCGCCUCGUGAUAGGGAAUGCCAGCACCAGUGUCCAGAGCUGAAAAGAUGCACAUUGCAGAUGGCGAUCAUCCGGUCUAAGCCAACUGGCAUUUCCAAAUCAAGCAACGGCCCU